ACGGGAGGCAGCAGUAGGGAAUAUUGCACAAUGGGGGAAACCCUGAUGCAGCGACGCCGCGUGAGUGAAGAAGUAUUUCGGUACGCAAAGCUCUAUCAGCAGGGAAGAUAAUGACGGUACCUGCAUAAGAAGCCCCGGCUAACUACGUGCCAGCAGCCGCGGUAAUACGUAGGGGGCAAGCGUUAUCCGGAUUUACUGGGUGUAAAGGGAGUGUAGGUGGUCUGGCAAGUCAGAUGUGAAAGCCCGCGGCUCAACCGCGGGACUGCAUUUGAAACUGUCAGACUAGAGUGCAGGAGAGGAAAGUGGAAUUCCUAGUGUAGCGGUGAAAUGCGUAGAUAUUAGGAAGAACACCAGUGGCGAAGGCGGCUUUCUGGACUGUAACUGACACUGAGGCUCGAAAGCGUGGGGAGCAAACAGGAUUAGAUACCCUGGUA
rnacentral:rRNA from 1 species